rnacentral:tRNA from 3 species
GCCACCUUAGCUCAGUUGGUAGAGCAGUCCCUUCGUAAGGGAAAGAUCCUCGGUUCGACCCCGAGAGGUGGCU